UACUAUUAUGAAAUUUCAAAAUUAGGUCAGAAUAUUUCAUUUUUGAUGCCAUCUUUGGGAAUUCUAUAUAAAGAAAGUAUUCACUCAUACAUACACACAAGGAUCAGCCACUUUUUCAUCACAAAAAGGUUCUAAAAAAGCACACGAAUUAGAUUGGAAAAACCUAAAAAAGCACAAAAAGACUCAGCUACUAUCUCAUUGAUGGUUAUCUUCAUGAGCCUUGAAGUGACAAAAAAUAGAAUUGUAGCCUUUUUCGUUUGGAAUAUGACUUCGGAUUCUUCUUUUUCUUUCUCUGUUGUUUGUUUUCUGUUGUUCUUCUUUUCUUGGACUAAAUUUCUUUUCUCAAAUUUUGAUUAAAUGUUGCUGACAUUGGUGUCCUACUCUAUAAUGUAUUCAAUGUUUAGGUGUUAAUGUUUAAACGAGUGUAAUUAUUUCAUGUAUGGCUUGAUAGUCUGAUGGGCUUAACAGUUGUAGUUCAUUGAGACUUUGAUAAAAUAUUGACUGUAUAGGGGUGUAUUCAGUUGAGUUA